rnacentral:rRNA from 1 species
UACGUAGGGGGCAAGCGUUGUCCGGAUUUAUUGGGCGUAAAGAGCUCGUAGGCGGUUCGGUAAGUCGGGUGUGAAACCUCCAGGCUCAACCUGGAGUCGCCACUCGAUACUGCUGUGACUAGAGUCCGGUAGGGGAGCGUGGAAUUCCUGGUGUAGCGGUGAAAUGCGCAGAUAUCAGGAAGAACACCUAUGGCGAAGGCGGCUCUCUGGGACGGUACUGACGCUGAGACGCGAAAGCGUGGGGAGCGAACAGG